AUUUGACUUGUAUGUUAUCAUAAAAUAUUUUCUCUUAGCUAGGCAUGAUGGUGUGUGUGUAUAAUCUCGGAGUCCAGGAGGCUGGGGCAGGUAUCUUCUCCACUUCCUUCCUUGUCCCCUCAAAGAUCUUGACUAACAUCAAGGCAACACCUUCUUUGUAGAUGGAAGAGGUAAGAUCCAUGUUUAUUCUGCCCCUUCCCAUGGCAUAGCCACAGGCAACAGAUACCUUAGCUCCUGCCAUAGGCAGGGAACAUGGGCUUGAGCUAUGUUUGGAAGGGGCAGGAUCUGGGGGACCCCCACUUAAUGCUGUAGGUGAUAAAGUGCUUGGAAGAGAUGGUGAAUGUCUGUUGACCAUGCACGCAAAUCUGAGUUGUAACAUGUUACUUUUAGCUGUGUUGAUCUUGAGAAAACUACUCUCUGUGCUUCCGUGUCUCAAAGAAGUCAUCUCUGGUUGCAAGGGCCAAUAUGGCAGAUGCCAUUUACCUGUGGCCAGAGCGCUCAGAACAUGAGACCAGAUUUUAGUUUAAUUUUAAUUAACAUUUAAAUUCAAAUUGCUGUGACUAAUGGCUGUGAUAUAGAAUCCACCACUAGAGGACAGCACUGGGUGGCUUCAACCCACAUACAUACACAACCUUCCCCCCCCCC
rnacentral:lncRNA from 1 species